GCUUCUCCACCGGCAACGAAGAGUCCGCCUCCAGAUCGCCAUGCUGCUGCAGCUGCUAGUCCUGACCCUGCUGGCCUCUUCGUUCGAGCCAGCCAGUGGCCAUGCCAUCAUAACGCCCCUGCCAGUCACGGCCCCGCCAUGCCCGGAACCUGCGGGGCCCACUGGUUAUGCUCCUCCUCCAGCUGGUGGCUCCUCCAGCUCUUCCAGUUCCGACUGAUCUUCAUAGCCGGAUUUGGCUUUGAACGUCUCAGAAGUCUGCCUGUGACACCCACCGGGGCUGCUUGUGACUUCCAGUGGCCGGGUCAGCACAACCUAAGGCGUGAUCGACACGGAGAUCCCACGUCACGGAAAUGU